rnacentral:rRNA from 1 species
CUUUCCCUCUGGCGGCAGGCCUAACACAUGCAAGUCGAGCGGAUGAAGGGAGCUUGCUCCUGGAUUCAGCGGCGGACGGGUGAGUAAUGCCUAGGAAUCUGCCUGGUAGUGGGGGAUAACGUCCGGAAACGGGCGCUAAUACCGCAUACGUCCUGAGGGAGAAAGUGGGGGAUCUUCGGACCUCACGCUAUCAGAUGAGCCUAGGUCGGAUUAGCUAGUUGGUGGGGUAAAGGCCUACCAAGGCGACGAUCCGUAACUGGUCUGAGAGGAUGAUCAGUCACACUGGAACUGAGACACGGUCCAGACUCCUACGGGAGGCAGCAGUGGGGAAUAUUGGACAAUGGGCGAAAGCCUGAUCCAGCCAUGCCGCGUGUGUGAAGAAGGUCUUCGGAUUGUAAAGCACUUUAAGUUGGGAGGAAGGGCAGUAAGUUAAUACCUUGCUGUUUGGACGUGACCAACAGAAUAAGCACCGGCUAACUUCGU